ACGCUCGACACCUACGGGAGGCAGCAGUGGGGAAUAUUGCACAAUGGAGGAAACUCUGAUGCAGCGACGCCGCGUGAGCGAAGAAGUAUUUCGGUAUGUAAAGCUCUAUCAGCAGGGAAGAAAAAGGACGGUACCUGACUAAGAAGCUCCGGCUAAAUACGUGCCAGAAGCCGCGGUAAUCUGAGCGGGCUGGCAAGGC
rnacentral:rRNA from 1 species